GAAUGCUGACAUAAGUAACGAUAAAGCGGGUGAAAAGCCCGCUCGCCGGAAGACCAAGGGUUCCUGUCCAACGUUAAUCGGGGCAGGGUGAGUCGACCCCUAAGGCGAGGCCGAAAGGCGUAGUCGAUGGGAAACGGGUUAAUAUUCCCGUACUUGGUGUUACUGCGAAGGGGGGACGGAGAAGGCUAUGUUGGCCGGGCGACGGUUGUCCCGGUUUAAGCGUGUAGGUGUGUGUUCCAGGUAAAUCCGGUUCACUUUAACACUGAGGCGUGACGACGAGGCACUACGGUGCUGAAGCAACAAAUGCCCUGCUUCCAGGAAAAGCCUCUAAGCAUCAGGUAACAUCAAAUCGUACCCCAAACCGACACAGGUGGUCAGGUAGAGAAUACCAAGGCGCUUGAGAGAACUCGGGUGAAGGAACUAGGCAAAAUGGUGCCGUAACUUCGGGAGAAGGCACGCUGACACGUAGGUGAAGUGAUUUACUCAUGGAGCUGAAGUCAGUCGAAGAUACCAGCUGGCUGCAACUGUUUAUUAAAAACACAGCACUGUGCAAACACGAAAGUGGACGUAUACGGUGUGACGCCUGCCCGGUGCCGGAAGGUUAAUUGAUGGGGUCAGCGCAAGCGAAGCUCCUGAUCGAAGCCCCGGUAAACGGCGGCCGUAACUAUAACGGUCCUAAGGUAGCGAAAUUCCUUGUCGGGUAAGUUCCGACCUGCACGAAUGGCGUAAUGAUGGCCAGGCUGUCUCCACCCGAGACUCAGUGAAAUUGAACUCGCUGUGAAGAUGCAGUGUACCCGCGGCAAGACGGAAAGACCCCGUGAACCUUUACUAUAGCUUGACACUGAACAUUGAGCCUUGAUGUGUAGGAUAGGUGGGAGGCUUUGAAGUGUGGACGCCAGUCUGCAUGGAGCCGACCUUGAAAUACCACCCUUUAAUGUUUGAUGUUCUAACGUGGACCCGUUACCCGGGUUGCGGACAGUGUCUGGUGGGUAGUUUGACUGGGGCGGUCUCCUCCUAAAGAGUAACGGAGGAGCACGAAGGUUGGCUAAUCCUGGUCGGACAUCAGGAGGUUAGUGCAAUGGCAUAAGCCAGCUUGACUGCGAGCGUGACGGCGCGAGCAGGUGCGAAAGCAGGUCAUAGUGAUCCGGUGGUUCUGAAUGGAAGGGCCAUCGCUCAACGGAUAAAAGGUACUCCGGGGAUAACAGGCUGAUACCGCCCAAGAGUUCAUAUCGACGGCGGUGUUUGGCACCUCGAUGUCGGCUCAUCACAUCCUGGGGCUGAAGUAGGUCCCAAGGGUAUGGCUGUUCGCCAUUUAAAGUGGUACGCGAGCUGGGUUUAGAACGUCGUGAGACAGUUCGGUCCCUAUCUGCCGUGGGCGCUGGAGAACUGAGGGGGGCUGCUCCUAGUACGAGAGGACCGGAGUGGACGCAUCACUGGUGUUCGGGUUGUCAUGCCAAUGGCACUGCCCGGUAGCUAAAUGCGGAAGAGAUAAGUGCUGAAAGCAUCUAAGCACGAAACUUGCCCCGAGAUGAGUUCUCCCUGAGACUUAAAGUCUCCUGA
rnacentral:rRNA from 1 species